rnacentral:lncRNA from 1 species
GCCUUGGCUGGCCAUGUGCACCUCAUUCCAUGCCAUUCCAACAGUUGCUGUGCUCCCAGGCUUAUAUAAGAAGAACCAGUUUUCCCACUUCAUGAUUUUGCAGCUUAAUGGGAUGGAUAUGGAAGAGAAUAACUUAGCUUCUAGACAGGCACAAUCGCAGACGUACACAGAGGCUGGAAGACGGUGCACACCAUUGAGAUACGUGUCUCAUCCAGCCCGCCACAUGCAGCCGGAACCAGGCCACCGCCUGGGUGUCCCUUGUGUCCUGUCCUCCUACCUCUUCUCUCUGGUCCCCACAUUCCUUCCAGAGUUUCUCAUACAUGGAUUGCUCCCAGGCUCCCUUCCAUUGGGGGCCAGAGGUUCUCACAGAGCACAGAGAAGGGGACCAUUCGCCCCUGGGACCAUCAGGGGAAUGAUCUAGAAGUCAAGCAAAUGUUCUAGCCCUUCAGGGUCUUCAAGGGAGAUUACGGGGGAAGAAGGCUGAGGUAGAGAGCAGGGCCUCUAUACAUUUAAGCUCAUAGAGAUACAGAGCAUAUGAAGAUAUGGGAAUUCAGAAGAGUUCCGUCCAACAGAAAUGUAAUAUUGUAAAGUAACAGCAGCAGCAGCAGCAGCAGCAGCAGCAGCACUUGAAUAUGAUACCAACAAACAGGAAGUGUCAGGAAGACGCCUUGCAGAACUGUCAGCCUGUGGAGUUGUUUCCCCAAGAGAGUUUGGAGUUAGAAAGAGAUUGUCCUCUUCCUGUCACAUGUGACACUGGGACUACUCACUCUCAUCAAGAGAAACAUGACACUUCUCACAGGGGUGUAGACUAGCCCCCCACGAUAAUCAUGCAAUAGCCCUAACAUCAAUUCAUGCACUGGGAUGUUCGUGAAUUAAUAUUAAAUAAUAUUACAGAAUGGACAGCAAGGGAAUUCAAUUCCUUCUUAUAUCACCCUGAGAGUGGAGCCUACAAAUCCUCCUGAGUCUUUGAGGUUCUCUAUUCCUGUUAUCCUUGAACAAGAAAAUGUGCACAUGUACACACACACACACACACACACACACACACCACUAAUUUCCCUGAAAACACAAGAAUGAGCAAUAAUAGAUAUGCACAGACAAAAUGAAGUGAUGGGGAUUUUAUUUACCUUCUACCCUGAAACAAUCAAAACACAGACAAAAUAUGUGAUAUAAUGUUUUCAAGUCACUGGACAUCAAACAAUGAAGGGCAGUGAACCCUCUGAGAUAGCAAAUGAACAAUAAUGAGGCCUCCAAUUGCUCAGUCUGUCUUCCUUGAUAGUGUUUCCAGGCUCCUGUUCAGAGAAGGGGGAACCCAGGCAGAGCUCAGUGGAGUCCCUGAGUUGGAGAGACACAACUGAGAGUAUAGAGAAAUCCCAGAGGCAGGAGCUCACAGGACAGAAUUCCAGCAAGGAGAGUACUGCACAGGAAGAAUGACCAGGAGGCAUACAGAGGGUGCAGAGGGUCACCACUGAGGGUUCCAGUGAGUACUUAUGAUCACAUGAAAACCUCCCAAGUUUGGGGAAGGAACUACUCAAAAAGACUGGAAGUAACUGGAGCUGACCAAGGCCUGAGAACAGUGCCUGUUUCUAUUAGCCAGACUGAAGAACUUCAUGAUUCACAGGACAUUUGGUUUGAAUACACAGAGAGCCUUCCCUUAAUCAGUGGGGAAUAAGUAGAAAUAGACUCAGCAUUGUUAUGGUCCUACCUAGAAAAUCUUAAAAGCCAGACUCAAAAGGAUCAAUCUAUUUCCAGUAACUUAAUUGCAUCCCAGAAUAAAGCUCAAUAAUAUUGAAAGGACUACAGCAACUUUCAGCACCCAACACCAGGCAUUCAGGGAAGCAGAAGAAUAUAACCCUCAAUGGAGAGAUCCAAUAAGCACAGAGAACCUUAAGUAUAGGAAGAUGUGAAGAAAAUUACACGAAAGCACAUACUAACCAAAUUGGCUAAAACCAAUGACUAAGAGAACAUCUUAAAAGCAGUCAUACAAAAAAGACAAAAGGAAAAGACAGACAAAAUAAAGAGGAGGGAAGAUAAGGGUGACAGCAGAUUUCUCAGAAGAAACAAUGCAAGUGAGAAGCCAUUGGAGCUGCAUUUUAAAAGUACUGAAAGAAAAAAAUUGCCAAUCUUGAAUUCUGUUCCCAGUGAAAAUAUUUUUCAAAAACAAAGAUGAAUAAAGACUUUUUUCAGAUUGGAAAAGCAAUUCCAUCAAGUGAAUAUAUUAUAAUUUUUCUAUUAAAAAAAAAAAAA